rnacentral:tRNA from 1 species
GGGGCAGCUUUUUAAGAAAAUUUGGCUUCUAACCAGAUUUUGAGCCUAUAGGUUCCUGCCCCU